rnacentral:lncRNA from 1 species
CAUUCAUUCGCGCGCCUAGCUGGCUCUGUGCUCCAGACGCCGCGGGCAGCCGGGGCCGCUGCGCACCCGCUAAAGAGCGCGCCCGCUGGGAAGUGGCGCGGGCCUUCCUCCCGCAUCCCGGGUCUCAGCGAGACAGACGCGGGGUGGAAUGGCGAUGAACCAGAGCUGGUCUCUGCUCUCUCAACGCUCGGCUAUCUCUCGCCCGUCCCCUGCCCCCGCGUGGCCCUGGUCUGUCUCUCCACCCACACCUAACCCACCGCCGAGCGGACCUGAGUCACCAGCGAAGACGCGCGACCCCUGGCCUUGGCCCGAGUCGCCUAGCUGCAGUUCCCGGCAGCGCUGAGAACUGAGCUCUGGCGCAGGGUUCAACCUGUGUUCAGAGAGUCCUUCGGAGGGGGCAAGGCUAGCGAGUAGGCAGUCUUGACUUUGCACCGGAAUCCUUCUCGGAGACCCAGGAUUCCAUCCGCCUCGGUGGCCCGAGGGGGUGGGGAGUUGGAAGCUGAUGCACUUGACACUCUGGAGAGCGAGGUGAAGCUGCGCUGCGGUACAACCAAUGCAAGCACAGGGAUGCGAUCGCUGGACAUCUUUCAUUACCCUGGGGCUCCUAGCUUUCUCUUAGUUCCUAUCCACACCGGCAUCGCGGCUCCCUGAACUGUCCUGAGGCGUCAUCACCGUUCCGUGAGAGUGAAGGGAGGCCAUAGAGGCCAGGCCACAGGGUUCGAUUAGUGGACAGAACCCUGUCUAAGAGCCCUCUGACACUUUUCUGACAAAGUGCAAAAUAAGGUGGUGAGAGACAGGAUAGACAUCAUUGAGAUUCUGAUUCUGCGGAGGCCCUGAAGUCGAUGAGAGGUGAGAAGCAGGUGUGAAUAAUUCAGGCUCCAGGCAGAAGACAAGGCGGGCUAGGGCCUGUCAGGCAAAGGAAGACACACACUCGGAGCUCUGAGAUACCAAAGUAGAUGCUGCGGAGGAAGAAAUAAUUUAUUGCAAACUGGUCUUCAGUAACGAACUACAGAAAUGAUUCCUGAAAGUAUAGUCUUGCAAAGUGGUCUUUAGGAAGGCUUCCCAGAGAAAGUGGAUAAAUCUGGAGAAUAGGAGGGUAAUCCCAAAAAGGAAGAGAAGAAUAAGGAAAGGGCAGGGACAGCCAAGGCCCUCAGGAUAAUAUCUCAUGAGAGCAUGCUGGAUACUGGCAAAGACCUGGUGUGAGUUGAGACUGGCCAGACUGGGCAAGUCUAGAUACUGGAGGAUCUUAAAUGCCAGGAGCAGAGUGGACAGGGUGGUGCUUUUUGGAUGAUGUCAGGUAGGUUGACUCUUCGGAAAAUCCAAGACAGGUCAGGCUUGCGAAUGAAGCCAUCUGGGGAAUAAGGUAAAUAUUGAGAUCAUAGCAGCAUGUCCUGCCUCCCAUAUCAGCAUCAGCUUCCGUAUCAGCAUCAGCAUCACCCAGAGACACACAAGUGAAAUGAGAGGGUGUUUGUCAGUAGUUCCAGAAACCUAAGACAAGCUUGAUAUAUUUCUACUGAAGUGAAAAAGAAAAUGACCAGUGUUUUGUUUAGAGGAGAAAGAAGAGGAGGAGGAGACGCUGGAAUGUAUCGGAGUUUCCACUAGCAUUACCACUUACUCCUCUGGACUCACAGGACGAAGGGACAGAGAAGGCUGCCCCUGCACCAGUACCACCACAGAAGCCUUUCUAGGAUGACCAGUCCUCCCUCAGAUGUCAAAGACAGUACUGAGUGAGCUGAACAGAAUGUCACCACCAAGGGUUCACAAGGAUCUUGGAGCCCUCUCUGACUAUGCAUCUGUCUGGUGUGUCAGAAGACAGCUAUAGUGUACUUACUUAUAAUAAUAAAUCUUUUUUUAAAAAAAGUUAGAGAAAGAAUGACCUCCAUUCUGGUGCUCAACUCAUGGAACAAUAAAACAGCUGUGAAAUGAGCCAGCUGUUGCAUUGGGAUUAAUUUGGAUGCAGAGGUUUUGAGCUAAUUAGAAAUGUGUCAAAAUAUUCUUUAGUGACAGCAAAGGAUGCAUUUUAAAAAGAAAUGCAUUAAUAAAGCCAGUAAUCAGUAGAACCAGUCCUAGAGACAAAGUCCUUCUUAAAACCCCCCAUCAUCCUAACUCUACCUUCUCCUUUGCCUCUUUCCCACAGCCUGUAGAGAACUAAGUGACCAAGAUUCUUACAGGAGACCACAUGGCCCAUCAGAAUGCCCAACCAGGAGCUUUCUGUAAUGUAUGCCCCUGAGAGGCCCCUGAAUGAACAGCAGGAAAAGGCACAUAAUCAUAAGAUGAUACGGAUCGAUAAAAGCACAGAGGAGCACCGUCACUAUCCUGAAGUCGUUUGGGAGCUGAGCCUUGGAUGGCAGACUUGCUGUGUCUGGGAGCACAGGAAAUGGAAGAUGAUGAUAAUGCGGGAGGUGUGUAACACCAGACCCAUGCUGCCUGAGAAUUCAGCAUUCAGAGAAAGUGAGGGUUUUACAAGCCAGUGUUUACAGUUGUGCAUGUCCUCUCUCACUGGAGCCACCUCCAAAGCCAUCAGAAGGCUCAUCAGUCUGGUUUGGAUGCUGAAAUUGCUCACAGUGUCUGGAGCUGAUGCCAGAGCAAAAAAAGACUUUUAAAAAGCAUCAUCCCGUUUUAUCAGCAUAUAAGUAGUUAUAAACCGUGGGGUGUCUCCUCAGGGUAGGUGGUGAUAAACAGCUAGCUGGGCUGGCUGUCGGGACUCGGGGCAUGAAGCUCAGAAGCAGCAGCCGCAGCUAUUUCUAUUCAUGUCUUCUCAUCACUCUCGGCAUCACUGCCCUGUGUCCAUUCUCAGGCUGUCCUUAGUCCACAUGGACACUUCUCUCUCAUCCCCAACAAGAAAAUGCCCGCCUCUGCUUCCCACACCCACAGGCUGUAGUUCUUAGUGGAGGUGCUAUGCCUCUGCAUGGCCCCAGAUCUCAGCCUGCAGUCCAACAAAAGAGGCAGACAAGAGUCUGUUGUUGUUGUAGUUGUUGUCUCUGUCCCCUCCAAGUGCCUGUGUGUAUGGAUAUAUGUGCAGAAAUAUAUGCGGUCUGUUUACUAAAAUUGGACUUCAUACCUUUUCUUAAAUAACUGAUUUCUUUCCUGUAAUUACUAGUUAUUAGUAACACACAAUUGUUCACUAGAGAAAAAAAUAAAAUCUGUAUCUAAUUG